AUGCAGUCGAGCGAACGGACGAGAAGCUUGCUUCUCUGAUGUUAGCGGCGGACGGGUGAGUAACACGUGGAUAACCUACCUAUAAGACUGGGAUAACUUCGGGAAACCGGAGCUAAUACCGGAUAAUAUUUUGAACCGCAUGGUUCAAAAGUGAAAGACGGUCUUGCUGUCACUUAUAGAUGGAUCCGCGCUGCAUUAGCUAGUUGGUAAGGUAACGGCUUACCAAGGCAACGAUGCAUAGCCGACCUGAGAGGGUGAUCGGCCACACUGGAACUGAGACACGGUCCAGACUCCUACGGGAGGCAGCAGUAGGGAAUCUUCCGCAAUGGGCGAAAGCCUGACGGAGCAACGCCGCGUGAGUGAUGAAGAUUCCUUCCCGGAUCGUAAAAACUCUGGUUAGUAGGGAAGAAACAUAAUGUGUAAGGUAACUGUGCACAUCUUGACGGUACCUAAUCAGAAAAGCCCACGGGCUAAACUACGUGCCAGCAGCCGCGGUAAUACGUAGGUGGCAAGCGUUAUCCGGAAAUUAUUGGGCGUAAAGCGCGCGUAGGCGGUUUUUUUAAGUCUGAUGUGAAAGCCCCACGGCUCAACCGUGGAGGGUCAUUGGAAACUGGAAAACUUGAGUGCAGAAGAGGAAAGUGGAAUUCCAUGUGUAGCGGUGAAAUGCGCAGAGAUAUGGAGGAACACCAGUGGCGAAGGCGACUUUCUGGUCUGUAACUGACGCUGAUGUGCGAAAGCGUGGGGAUCAAACAGGAUUAGAUACCCUGGUAGUCCACGCCGUAAACGAUGAGUGCUAAGUGUUAGGGGGUUUCCGCCCCUUAGUGCUGCAGCUAACGCAUUAAGCACUCCGCCUGGGGAGUACGACCGCAAGGUUGAAACUCAAAGGAAUUGACGGGGACCCGCACAAGCGGUGGAGCAUGUGGUUUAAUUCGAAGCAACGCGAAGAACCUUACCAAAUCUUGACAUCCUUUGACAACUCUAGAGAUAGAGCUUUCCCCUUCGGGGGACAAAGUGACAGGUGGUGCAUGGUUGUCGUCAGCUCGUGUCGUGAGAUGUUGGGUUAAGUCCCGCAACGAGCGCAACCCUUAAGCUUAGUUGCCAUCAUUAAGUUGGGCACUCUAAGUUGACUGCCGGUGACAAACCGGAGGAAGGUGGGGAUGACGUCAAAUCAUCAUGCCCCUUAUGAUUUGGGCUACACACGUGCUACAAUGGACAAUACAAAGGGCAGCGAAACCGCGAGGUCAAGCAAAUCCCAUAAAGUUGUUCUCAGUUCGGAUUGUAGUCUGCAACUCGACUACAUGAAGCUGGAAUCGCUAGUAAUCGUAGAUCAGCAUGCUACGGUGAAUACGUUCCCGGGUCUUGUACACACCGCCCGUGCACACCACGAGAGUUUGUAACACCCGAAGCCGGGGACUCAGGCCUCGCAGCGCCUAUCCGCGCAAGCUGACGC
rnacentral:rRNA from 1 species